AUUCCUUUCUUCCAAGCCUGCUUUGAUGUCGGAAAACAAGAAGGAACCUGUGUUUUUCCACCCUGUGAAACCAAAGACCUUGGUGGAUUUUGGGAAAGCUUUCUGCUGACGUCUGAAUCAGUGAGGCUUUGAACCAAACACCACCUCCUCCUCCUCCCCGUCAUAUCCCCAGUCAUGCCGAACCUCGACCAGCACACGCCUCACUUCCUGUGGAAGGGUGGGACUCCUCUUCACAGGGGCAAGCUGAGACAAAAGAAACAAGGCCAAGUGACUCUUGUGAACGUAGCCCAGCGUGGAGCACUUUGAGGGAAGGCCCUCAGACUCUCUGACAGAGGUUAGAAGCUCCACGUGACUCCAGCCUCCCAGGUCAGCUCUGUCAGACAGCUGCAGGUCUCUGGACAGACAGGUCCUCACACUCACAGACCCACACACACACACAGAGUACUUGACUGUACUGUGUAGACAGAGCGAGCUGGUUUGUUGGACACGCUUCAAAGGAACUCCCUUGUCUGAAGACGACUGUGCGUAAAGAUGAUGUGCUGGUGGAGAGGUGGGCUGAGUCCCAGAUGCUGCUCAGGUUGAGCGGGAGGCAGGAUGAUGAACACUAGUCUCUGACAGGCUGGACACAUCUCAACAGUCAUGGGCACCCUGCCAGGUCCUGUUCCCCCCCAGCCCACUUUCCCUCAGAGUAGUUUGUCUGGAUGGGUCCCUAAACCUUGUAAUAUCCCAACAUCAUCCAUACUAUCUCAAUCCGUGGUACCAGGAAGUGUUCUAGCUUUGUGGACCUGGAUCAUCCGCCACCACCCUGAUGUUCUGCGACUGGAUGGGCGAGGUGGAUCUCCACGACCCCUCCCUCCCCCCCCCCCCCCCCCCAGCUGGUUUUGAUUCCAGAUUCCUUGAGUCCAGUCUUGGCUCACUGCAGACAGUGGUGUGAUCACAACCAGACAGGCUCAUCCCUCCAGGAGAAACCUCAGCCCCGAGAAGGUCCUCAAGAAGAUCAGAGAACAUGACAGCCAGACGACAGCCGGGUGGUGACUGGGUGAAUCAAGUGUCCUCCUUCUGAUGAGUGGAAUCCUGGUCUCCCUACCCACCAGCGGCCAUCUUGGAUCCCUCACAUUCCUCAGACGUGCUUACAGUGGUGGCUCCUGCAGCAGCUGAAUGAACAUACGCAUUACAAUCACUGCCAACCCCUAGAACAUGACGGACUAUCACACGUUAGUGUGAACUGAGACUCCUGAUCCUAGUCUCACCUCAUCACAGACCCUGCAGACCAUAGCGCAUCAUGUUAGGAUCUGCAGAAGGGAGGUGGAAGGAUUGUUCUGAUGAUGAUUACACUACCUUUUAUCUUGUUGCCCUGCAGCCUGAUGCCCAGUCUGUCUUGGCCGUGGAUGAUGCAUACAACUACAGCAACUACAGUUGGAAGCAGUACCAGACUGGACAGAGAUAAAGCCAAGAAUCUGCAAAGGGAAGUCAUACUCCCCUACACCCACACCCAUGCUGCUCAGAGUG